rnacentral:rRNA from 1 species
ACAAUUAGCUGUUGGGACACUAGAUGUCUUAGUAGCGAAGCUAACGCGUGAAAUUGUCCGCCUGGGGAGUACGGUCGCAAGAUUAAAACUCAAAGGAAUUGACGGGGACCCGCACAAGCGGUGGAUGAUGUGGAUUAAUUCGAUGCAACGCGAAGAACCUUACCUGGUCUUGACAUGUACGGAAUCUCUUAGAGAUAGGAGAGUGCCUUCGGGAACCGUAACACAGGUGCUGCAUGGCUGUCGUCAGCUCGUGUCGUGAGAUGUUGGGUUAAGUCCCGCAACGAGCGCAACCCUUGUCAUUAGUUGCCAUCAUUAAGUUGGGCACUCUAAUGAGACUGCCGGUGAUAUGCCGGAGGAAGGUGGGGAUGACGUCAAGUCCUCAUGGCCCUUAUGACCAGGGCUUCACACGUCAUACAAUGGUCGGUACAGAGGGUAGCGAAGCCGCGAGGUGAAGCCAAUCUCAGAAAGCCGAUCGUAGUCCGGAUUGCACUCUGCAACUCGAGUGCAUGAAGUCGGAAUCGCUAGUAAUCGCAGGACAGCAUACUGCGGUGAAUACGUUCCCGGGUCU